UGGGGAAUUUUGCACAAUGGGCGCAAGCCUGAUGCAGCGACGCCGCGUGAGGGAUGGAGGCCUUCGGGUUGUAAACCUCUUUCGCUCAUGGUCAAGCCGCAACUGUGGUUGUGGUGAGGGUAGUGGGUAAAGAAGCGCCGGCUAACUACGUGCCAGCAGCCGCGGUAAUACGUAGGGCGCGAGCGUUGUCCGGAAUUAUUGGGCGUAAAGGGCUUGUAGGCGGUUUGUCGCGUCUGCCGUGAAAUUCCCUGGCUUAACUGGGGACGUGCGGUGGGUACGGGCAGGCUUGAGUGCGGUAGGGGAGACUGGAAUUCCUGGUGUAGCGGUGGAAUGCGCAGAUAUCAGGAGGAACACCGGUGGCGAAGGCGGGUCUCUGGGCCGUUACUGACGCUGAGGAGCGAAAGCAUGGGGAGCGAACAGGAUUAGAUACCCUGGUAGUCCUGCUGUAAACGUUGGGCACUAGGUNUGGGGACCGUCCUUGGUUUCUGCGCCGUAGCUAA
rnacentral:rRNA from 1 species